AGUUUGAUCCUGGCUCAGAUUGAACGCUGGCGGCAGGCCUAAGACAUGCAAGUCGAACGGUAACGACACUAGCUUGCUAGUGGGCGACGAGUGGCGGACGGGUGAGUAACGCGUAGGAAUCUACCUAGUAGUGGGGGAUAGCCAAGGGAAACUUUGGGUAAUACCGCAUACGAUCUAAGGAUGAAAGGGGGCCUCUCUUUGAAGCUCUCGCUAUUAGAUGAGCCUGCGUAAGAUUAGCUUGUUGGUGGGGUAAUGGCCUACCAAGGCGACGAUCUUUAGCUGGUCUGAGAGGAUGAUCAGUCACACUGGAACUGAGACACGGUCCAGACUCCUACGGGAGGCAGCAGUCGGGAAUAUUGGACAAUGGGGGAAACCCUGAUCCAGCCAUGCCGCGUGUGUGAAGAAGGCUCUAGGGUUGUAAAGCACUUUUAGUAAGGAGGAAGGCUCAGUAGUUAAUACCUGCUGGGAUUGACGUUA
rnacentral:rRNA from 1 species